rnacentral:lncRNA from 1 species
UGUUCUUUCUCUUUAAUGGUUUCAUAAGCAGACUUUCUAAACAGGUUAAAAAACCCCAACAACUUAUUAGUGGAAUGUUCCUGUUCAACUGCCAAUACCAGUAAUAUAAACACAGUCACUAAAAUAAAUACUAUCCUCUUUUGCACCAGGAACUAAAUUUGCCUGAAAGAAUGAGAAAAGAAUAGACUUCAGAUAAAAGUAGACCUUGCCAAGUUAAAAGGCAUUCAUUCUCUAAUCUCUGAGAAUAGUAAUAAUAAAUAGAUGUAAUUGCAGGUUUCUUUAUUCUCCAAGUUGGAAGCCAAAGAGAAUCAUGAAUAUUCAAGAUGGUCACUUACUGGACCUUUAGUCUUAUCCCCAUUGACCAGGAAAAGAAUAAGCCUAAGUGGGCUCCAGGAUUCCAAAGACCAAGGAGCCAAGGAAACUGAGAGGGAGUCAAAUUUUCCUGAGUCAGUUCUACUUGGAGUUCUAUUUGGAGUGGAGGCUGAAGAAGAAUCUGCUAACUGA